rnacentral:rRNA from 1 species
UACGUAGGGUCCGAGCGUUGUCCGGAAUUACUGGGCGUAAAGAGCUCGUAGGGGGUUUGUCGCGUUGUCCGUGAAAACUCACAGCUCAACUGUGGGCGUGCGGGCGAUACGGGCAGACUGGAGUACUGCAGGGGAGACUGGAAUUCCUGGUGUAGCGGUGGAAUGCGCAGAUAUCAGGAGGAACACCGAUGGCGAAGGCAGGUCUCUGGGCAUUAACUGACGCUGAGGAGCGAAAGCAUGGGGAGCGAACAGG